AUUGAACGCUGGCGGCAGGCCUAACACAUGCAAGUCGAGCGAGCGGCGGACGGGUGAGUAAUGUCUGGGAAACUGCCUGAUGGAGGGGGAUAACUACUGGAAAAGGUAGCUAAUACCGCAUACCAUCAGAGGUGCCAAGAUGGGAUUAGCUAGUAGGUGGGGUAAUGGCUCACCUAGGAGACGAUCCCUAGCUGGGCUUAGAGGAUGAACAGCGUCACUGGAACUGCGACACGGACCAGACUCCUAUGGUAGGCAGUAGGGGGAAAUAGUGUACAAUGGGCGGAAGCCUGAUGCAGAGACGCCGCGUGGGGGAUGCCCGCCUUCGGGUUGUAAACGCCUUUCACCAUCGACGCGGUAGAUGGAGAAGAAGCACCGGCUAACUACGUGCCAGCAGCCGCGGUAAUAC
rnacentral:rRNA from 1 species